rnacentral:lncRNA from 1 species
AUUGGGAAGAUAAAAAGGUGUAUUGGAAAUUGUAAAGAUGAUGUAAGCAAAUAAAAUUGGGGAAAUAUGAAGCAAUCCAAACAAACGUUUAAUGCUAGUCCGUCUAUUGCCUAAUAAUUAACUAAAAUAACGACUAAAUAUAACUAAAUCAUAAGCUGGAAAAUUCGGCUUUCAUUUCUCUUGUUUAUUCGUGACUUGAACUAGGUUAACUAAAGAUGAACUCCCUUCAUUAAUCUCUAUGAUCAUGCUCGGCAUUCCAAUCGAGUCUUGAACAGCUCGAACUAUCGCUUGGACGACUCUUGAAGUUUCUUGGCACGAGCGUGCGUCAUUGGAUCCACUGGAAUGUUCAUGGAAUCGACUUGAGCACGUUGAGCAUCUUGGACAGCUUGCGCGGCUUCAUCAUAACCCAUUUUUGCUUUGUAUAAAUUUUGCAUGAAGCAAUAAACAAAAUGAGAUGCAAUUAACGAAAAAUGGUGCCAAGCUCAAUACACUUUAUUGUUAUUAUUAUUAUUUUCUUUUUGUGUUAGUUUUUUGGACUAACAUUCAUGUAAACAUACCUACUACCUAGCAGAUUGCCAUAUUGACACGAAACAAAGGAUUCCUUUCUAGAAAAGAAGAAGAAAAGCAUUGGCAUAAGAAACAAAAUCCUGUGGUUUGGUAUAGUUGCAGACUGUAAAACGGUUUUAGCCUGUGGUUUAAAUCACGGAUAUAGUUGCAGAGCAUAAAAUGAAUUAGUUGCAUACCAUAAAACGAUAUUAUACCUGAAAGGGUUCGACUCGACUCGAACAUGAUUAGUAAAAGAAUGUGGAAUCCUGUUGUUUAGAAGAAAAAAAACAUAAAAUCUAUCAAAUAUAUGAUCGUCACAAGUAUCAUUUUUGGGCAUUCCUGAUUUUAGGCAUUGUUUGAUAAUCCAAUUUAGCACUUAAAUUUAAAAAAUUUAGCAAAAAAUUGAAUAUUUGAAUUAAUUAAAUGGCAAUGAAUUUUUAACCAAAACUUGCUUCAAAAAUUUAAAUUUAUCACUUAUUGUGAUAUAUACUCAAGUGUAUUAAAUUUAAUACUUAACAAUUCAAUAAUUUAAUGGAUUCAAAUUUCAGAUUUCAGAUUCAUGCCUUGUUUGAUAACCCAAAUCAGUAUUUAAACUUAAUGGAUUUCGAUUUUAACAUGUUCAGGCGUGUUUGACAACAAAAAAUUGAACAUCCGAAUUAAUUAAGUGACACUAAAUUUUUUAGACAAAACAUGCGCAUAAAAAUAGGUGAUAAACUAUCCACUUAUCAGGUAAUGUGAUAUACACUAAAAUGUAUCAGAUUUAGUAUUUUACAAUUCAAUAACUUAAUGGAUUUAUAUUUCAGUGACACUGAAUUUUUUAGGUAAAACUUGCUGCUAAAAAUAAGUGAUAAAUUAUUUACUUAUCAGUUAAUGUGAUAUACACUUAAAGGUAUGAGAUUUAAUAUUUAACAAUUCAAUAACUUAAUGGAUUCAUAUUUUAAAUUUCAAAUUUUAAAUUAUAGUUUUCAGAUUUCAAUUUUAUUAAAUGAACUGUCACACUUCAAUUUUUAAAUUUCAAUUUUAUCCGACGCAUCUUACUUUAGCUUCAUAUUCACCUGCCAUGUUGUAUUUAUCGUGUUUUAGGCUUAGAAACACUGCACCAAGAAAUAGAACAAGAAGAAAUAAAGAAAAUUAUGCUAGUACUCACAAAAAAUGUACAUGCCAUUCCGUUCUUGACUCAACCCUCGUGCUAUUUUGUAUUUGUCUUGGUUUAGGCUUAGAAAAACUGCACCCAGGAAUAGAACAACAAGAAAUAAGGAAAAAUUAUGCUAGUACUCACAAAAAAAAUGUACAUACCAUUCCGUUCUUGACUCAACCCUCGUGCUAUUUUGUAUUUGUCUUGGUUAGGCUUAGGAAAACUGCACCGAGAAAUAGAACAAGAAGAAAUAAAGAAAAAUUAUGCUAGUACUCACAAAAAGAUGUACAUACCAUUCCGUUCUUGACUCAAGCCUCAACCCCAAUUCCCAAAUCCUCAAAAUCCCACCUCAGAAAUCCCAAUAAUUUGCAUCACUCUUGCAAAGUUUGUCUUUUUUGACGUGGGUUUGUCUUAUUUAUUUUUCUUGGCAGCAAUUUUUUUUUUCGUUUGAAUAAUUGAUGAGACAUGGAAAAUCCAAAAGAAUUGAGGUCUGAUGCUGAUUUCAGCUUCGAGUUUUUCCCAUUUGAAAUGAUAAUUGAGAUUCUCUCAAGAUUGCCAGUCAAAGUCCUUGGCAGAUUCACCACAGUCUCCAAAUUAUGGUACUCUCUCAUCACAAGUUAUAUGUUCAUUAAUAAGCAUCUCAAGGAUUACUCCAUCUCGCUGUCUAAUAAGUCUUACAGCAGCGGCGACAGCAGCAGCAGCUCGGCUACCCCUUUUAGCUCUGUCUUGCUAAUUCCUAUUGUACUAAAGGAAUUAGAGAGACAUUCUUAUUCUAUGUUUUUUGAUAGCACUUUUGAUGAUAAUGGAAGUUUUGAAAUUCCGAUGUUGUAUCAUUGGCUUGAGAUUUUGUACGUUGGGAAUUCUUGCAAUGGAAUAAUCUGUUUCACUGAUCAGAAGGCAUUUUUCGGUAGGAAAGUGUAUUUGUACAAUCCUGUAAUUAGGAGAAUGAAGCUUAUAUCCCAUAAUUGCUUUGCUGAUAUGAUGUUUGAUCGUAACAAAGUGUUUUGCAAACUGGGAUUUGGGUUUUGUGAGUGUACUAAUGACUAUAAGGUUGUGCGGAUCCAUUAUGUUAAGGACGAGGAGUCAAAAAUGUUGGGGAAUGUAGCACCUGAGGUGGAGGUUUAUAGUUUGAAUGCUGAUAAUUGGAGAAGGAUUAAGGCAAAUGUCGAGUGUAUUGUCAAUUAUAGGUCGGUUUCUUGCAAUGGAUCUAUUCAUUGGUUGGCUCGAAAGAAGAAUGGACGGAUUUUUGAUGCUAUCAUGUCCUUUGAUAUUGCUCAUGAGUUGUUUUGUGAGACCGAUUUGCCUGUUCAGUGCCACUCAUUGAAGGAUGGGACUUUAUUGGUCUUCAAGGGGUUGCUUGCUAUUUUCAAGGAUGGCAUUAGCAUUAGAGAGUACGAAGGCUAUAAAUGCUACGAGUUAUGGGUGAUGAGGGAGUAUAAGGUUGCCAAAUCCUGGACUAAACUAUUUGUUUUGGAGACAAAACGAUCUGUUGUGAAGGCAUUUGGAUUUACAAAGAGUGGACAACUUGUGAUGCAGAUGCACGGUGAUAGGUUAGCAUCUUGGGAGCCUGAAGGAAACUGUCUGAAACAUCUAGAGAUUGAUGGAUUUCUACAUCAUGUGGAUGCUUCUUUUGUGGAGAGUCUUGUUUUAUAUGAAGGUGGAUGUUUUGCUUCAGCAGAAACAAAGUAAGAUCUUAAGAACUUUUAGCUCAUUUAUCAUUUGCUAUCUCAGUUAAAGAUCUGUAGCUUGUUGCUAGAGUGCUGGAUGUUUUUCCUGUUUUCAGGAUAAAGUGUUUUAGCAUGCGUUGAUCAAUUAUCUCUGUGCUAGGAUGCAUUAAUGGUGCUAGAAUGCGUUGCAGCUAUAGAUGCAUCAGUCAUAUAAUAAAUAAAGCUUCUGCAAUCCACCAUAAUCUCUUUCUGAGUUCUAUACAUCACUACCAUGUUGGAAUUAUUUAUGGAGUAUCAUUGCCUACACAAUACGUUCCCCUAAACCAUUAGACUAAUUUGGUGUUCACCAAUGUUAUUUGUUCUGUUAUCAAUGCCAUUAAAGGGGAAGAAGUGUUCAAAUGCUGUCAGAGAUAGGCUGCUGGUUAGUAGUAUUUAUUGUUAUCCGGUCAUGAAAUACAUGAGUAGUCUAGAAAAACAUGGAUCAAUUGUAUGACAUAUGCUGGAAUUUAUGGAUUUCAGUAUCUGAACGAAAAACUACCUUGCAGUUCAUGCAAUCGCAUGGAUGUCAUUCUUUACAUAGCCUUCUUGCCUUUCCAGCAACUAGCCAUAUGCAGUUUAUAGGGUACUUUCUCAUCUUGAUAGCUGAUUGAGGAUCUCUUGGCAGUCAAGGUGAACAAGAUUACUUUGUUAAGACCAGGAUUUGGGUUUACUAACUGAAGAGAUUGAAACUGGUAGAUGAAUGCAUUGGAUAGUGUCCUUCUAUAGGAUAUUAAAGGAGAAGUAGGAAUAAGAAAAUUGAGAAGAGAGUACCUUACCCUUGCAAGAGAUGAGAAAAAUACACACAAUAGCAAAUCGU